rnacentral:rRNA from 1 species
AGGGAAUAUUGCAAAAUGGGCGAAAGCCCGAUGCAGCAACGCCGCGUGGGCGAUGAAGGCCUUCGGGUCGUAAAGCCCUUUUUGAGGGGAUGAGGAAGGACAGUACCCUCAGAAUAAGCCUCGGCUAACUACGUGCCAGCAGCCGCGGUAAAACGUAGGAGGCGAGCGUUAUCCGGAUUUACUGGGCGUAAAGCGCGUGCAGGCGGAAUGGAGAGUUGGAUGUGAAAGCUCCCGGCUUAACUGGGAGAGGUCGUUCAAUACUUCCAGUCUUGAGUGCAGUAGAGGGAAGUGGAAUUCCGGGUGUAGUGGUGAAAUGCGUAGAUAUCCGGAGGAACACCAGUGGCGAAAGCGGCUUCCUGGACUGUAACUGACGCUCAGACGCGAAAGCUAGGGUAGCAAACG